GCGGUCGUGGCGGAAUUGGCAGACGCGCACGGUUGAGGGCCGUGUGCCGAAAGGUGUGUGGGUUCAAGUCCCACCGACCGCACCA
rnacentral:tRNA from 1 species